rnacentral:rRNA from 1 species
UACGGGGGGAGCAAGCGUUGUUCGGAUUUACUGGGCGUAAAGGGCGGGUAGGCGGCCACCGCAAGUCAGUUGUGAAAUCUCCGGGCUUAACCCGGAAAGGUCAGCCGAUACUGCGGGGCUAGAGGUGCAGAAGGGGCAACUGGAAUUCUCGGUGGUAGCGGUGGAAAUGCGUAGAUAACUGAGAGGAACACCUGCGGCGAAGGC